UACGGGGGGGGCAAGCGUUGUUCGGAAUUACUGGGCGUAAAGGGCUCGUAGGCGGCCAACUAAGUCAGACGUGAAAUCCCCAGGCUCAACCCGGGAACUGCGUCCGAUACUGGCAGGCUUGAAUCCGGGAGAGGGAUGCGGAAUUCCAGGUGUAGCGGUGAAAUGCGUAGAUAUCUGGAGGAACACCGGUGGCGAAGGCGGCAUCCUGGACCGGCAUUGACGCUGAGGCGCGAAAGCCAGGGGAGCAAACGGG
rnacentral:rRNA from 1 species